AUUGAAACUCCAGUUCCCAUAAAAUCAUUGAAGUUAAGCAACCCCAAGCCUGGUCAGUACCUAGAUGGGUGACCAUUUGGGAAUACCAGAUGCUGUAA